GAAAUGCGAUAAGUAAUGUGAAUUGCAGAAUUCCGUGAAUCAUCGAAUCUUUGAACGCACAUUGCGCCCUCUGGCAUUCCGGGGGGCAUGCCUGUCCGAGCGUCAUUACGCACCCUCAAGCCCGGCUUGUGUGAUGGGCCCCGCCGUCUCGUUCGCGAGACGGGCCCGAAAGGCAGCGGCGGCGUCCAUAAGCCCCUCUCUCACGCUCUUGACCUCGGAUCAGGUAGGGAUACCCGCUGAACUUAAGC
rnacentral:misc_RNA from 1 species